rnacentral:rRNA from 1 species
UACGUAGGGACCAAGCGUUGUUCGGAUUUACUGGGCGUAAAGGGCGCGUAGGCGGCAAUUCAAGUCAGUUGUGAAAUCUCCGAGCUUAACUCGGAACGGUCAACUGAUACUGUUUUGCUAGAGUACAGAAGGGGCAAUCGGAAUUCUUGGUGUAGCGGUGAAAUGCGUAGAUAUCAAGAGGAACACCUGAGGUGAAGACGGGUUGCUGGGCUGAUACUGACGCUGGAGGCGCGAAAGCUAGGGUAGCAAACGGG